AUGGCCAUGGCGGGCGUAAGAAGUCAGAGAGGUUCGUCGUCGUCGAGGAUGCUCCUUCCGCGGAACAUCAGCCUCUCUACCGGGCAUCUCCCGGAAGCACUCGGCGGAGCCCCUCCACCGCUCCGGCCAAACGUCAUCAACCCAUACGGCCGCCCCUACAGGUGCGCGCGGCUCGAUCGCCUUAGGCAUGCAUGCACUGCACUUGAUCUCGAUCGCAGGUACUGGCAGAUGUUCCUGAUCGUGCUGGUGGCCUACUCUGCGUGGGCGUCGCCGUUCGAGCUGGCCCUGGAGAAGGCCGCCUCCCGGGCGCACCUCGUCGUGGACCUGGUCGUCGACGUCUUCUUCUGCGCCGACAUCGUCGUGUCCUUCUUCGUCGCGUACCGGGACAGGUCCACCGACCUCCUCGUCGACGACCGUAGCAAGAUCGCCGUGAGGUACCUGACGCGGCCGUGGUUCGUGCUGGAUGUGGCCUCCACAAUCCCGUUGCAGAUAGUCUACCAGCUCGUGAGGGGCAAAAGAAACGGCCCCUGCGGGUUCCUCAUCCUUCUCCGGCUCUGGCGGCUGCGUCGCGCCAGUAAGCUCUUUACAAGGUUGGAGAAGGACACCAGGUUGAGCUACUUCUGGACUAGGUUUAUCAAGCUAGUCUGCGUGGCUCUGUUUGCGCUGCACUGCGCGUCGUGCGUGUACCUGUGGCUCGCGUUCCACUACCGGGACAAGGAGCAGACGUGGAUCGGCAGCCUCCGGGGCGACUUCAAGGAGCGCAGCGUGUGGUUCGCCUACACGUACGCCGUGUACUGGUCCAUGACCACCAUGGCCACGGUCGGCUACGGCGACCUGCACGCCGCCAACACCGGCGAGAAGCUCUUCAGCAUCCUCUUCAUGCUCUGCAACAUGGGCGUCGCCUGCUACGUCAUCGGCAACAUGACCAACCUCGUCGUCCACGGCGCCACCACCACAUUCCGCAUGAGGGACAUGGUGGACCAGGUGGCGAGGUACGGGAAGGCGAACCGGCUGCCGGUGUGGAUGCGGGAGCAGAUGGUGGAGAGCGUGCAGCUGAGGUUCCAGAUGGCGGAGCUGCUGCUGCCCGACGAGGUGCUGUCGGAGCUGCCCAAGGCCGCGAGGUCGGCCGUCGCGCAGCACCUCUACAAGGCCACGGUCGAGGACUCCUACCUCUUCCGGGGCGCCUCCGACAACCUCGUCGUGCAGCUCGUGUCGGAGAUGAAGGCGGAGUUCUUUCCGCCCAAGAUGGACAUUGUCCUGGAGAACGAGAUCCCGACCGACUGCUACAUCAUCGCGUCCGGCCAAGUGUUUAUCAUGAGGAUAGGGCCACAUGGCAUGGCGGGUGAAAUCGGUGUGAUGCUCAACAUCCCGCAGCCAUUCACCAUCCGGAGCAGAACCCUAACCCAGGUCAUACGCAUAAGCCGUAGCCACUUGCAGAGCACCAUCUGGCCUGCUACUGCAGACGGGGACACUAUAUUCUCCAACUUUGUUCAGUAUCUUGAAUCUCUGAAGGUGCGACAUGGAGAGGAGCUAACAUUUGCCAGAGAACUCGGGCAUGACACACUCCCGUUUCAGAACGGCGACCCGAUACGUGUUGUUAUCCACGGCCAAAUUCCGCACGGUAGUGGCAUGGCGGGCAACCGCGCGGCAGGGAAGCUCGUAUGUCUGCCUGGUUCACUGGAAGAACUGUUGAAGCUUGGGGAAGACAAGUUUGGAAUGGCGGCGAGACAUGUCCUCACCGCCGACGGCGCGGAGGUGGAUGACGUUCGCGCGCUGAGAGAUGGCGAUCACCUCUUCUUAAGUUGA
rnacentral:rRNA from 1 species